UUUUUAUGCAGCUAAAUGGUGGUUGAACCAUGGAAAUAGUUCUCCAAAUCUUAGAAAGCUAGCAAUAAAAAUUUUAGGCUUAACAUGUAGCUCAUCAGCAUGUGAAAGGAAUUGGAGUGAUUUUGAAAAGGUUGACUCAAAGAUAAGGAGCAUACUUCUCCAUGAUAGGAUGAGGGACCUUGUGUUCGUCAAAUUUAACUCAAAGUUGAAGCAAAAAAAAGAGAACAAAUCAAGAGACCCAAUUGAGAAGCAGGUUCCUGAUAUCCUAGAAGAUAGUGGCAAUGAGUGGAUCACUAGAGUUGCAUCAA